rnacentral:ncRNA from 1 species
AUUCCUCGGUGACCGAUAGCGGAUAGUACCGUGAGGGAAUGGUGAAAAGUACCGACGGGAGCGGAGUGAAAUAGUACCUGAAACCGUGUGCCUACAAGCCGUGGGAGCGUCGGAUGGAAGCUUGCUUCCAUCUCGUGACUGCGUGCCUUUUGAAGAAUGAGCCUGCGAGUUUGCGGUGUGUUGCGAGGUUAACCCGGGUGGGGAAGCCGUAGCGAAAGCGA